rnacentral:rRNA from 1 species
UACAGAGGGUGCGAGCGUUAAUCGGAAUUACUGGGCGUAAAGCGUGCGCAGGCGGUUUUGUAAGCCAGAUGUGAAAGCCCCGGGCUUAACCUGGGAAUGGCAUUUGGGACUGCAAGGCUUGAGUGCGGCAGAGGAGACUGGAAUUCCUGGUGUAGCAGUGAAAUGCGUAGAUAUCAGGAGGAAUACCGAUGGCGAAGGCGGAUCUCUGGGCCAUUACUGACGCUGAGGAGCGAAAGCGUGGGGAGCGAACAGG